rnacentral:ncRNA from 1 species
CCGGGGAGCUCGGGUCAGCCGGGCUGAGAGGGCGACCAUCGCGUCGCCGACCCGUGGAACCUGCUCUGGGUAAUGCCAGCGGAGGGAG